rnacentral:lncRNA from 1 species
GGUCAGUGGGCUCCUUUGCUGUUUGUUGAUUGAAAAUUUCCCUUCCAGGGCCUUCAUGGAAACUACUCUGGUGUCACAGAAAUAUAUCUAAGGAUGGAAGUGUGUAUGUGUACAAGCUCGUCUGAAAAGAGUUGGCUUGUAAACGGGAGAAGCUGUCCAAGAAGUAUUCUCACAAUGAAAUAAUCAUUUUAUUUUGUCCAUACCGACAAACAACCAGUCAAUUCAGCUGGAGUUUUAUUUUCCAAAUUUGUAAUGAGUUCGCUUAAUUAUUUUUGGUUUAUUGUGUUAUCUACAUAGUUGAAUCUUAAAUCUGAAUUUUC